rnacentral:rRNA from 1 species
CCUACGGGUGGCAGCAGUGAGGAAUAUUGGUCAAUGGCCGGAAGGCUGAACCAGCCAAGCCGCGUGAAGGACGAAGGUGCCAAGCAUUGUAAACUUCUUUUGUCAAGGGACAAAAUCAGGCUCGAGAGCCUGACCGAGGGGACUUGAAGAAAAAGCAUCGGCUAACUCCGUUCCAGCAGUCGCGGUAAUACGGGGGAUGCGAGCGUUAUCCGGAUUUAUUGGGUUUAAAGGGUGCGUAGGCGGGCUGUUUAGUCAGCGGUAAAAGCCCGGGGCUCAACCCCGGCGAGCCGUUGAAACUGGCUGUCGUGAGAUGUCGAGAGGUAUGCGGAAUGCGCAGUGUAGCGGUGAAAUGCUUAGAUAUUGCGCAGAACUCCGAUUGCGAAGGCAGCAUACCGGCGGCGAUCUGACGCUGAGGCACGAAAGCGUGGGUAUCGAACAGGAUUAGAUACCCGAGUAGUC